rnacentral:lncRNA from 1 species
CUAACCCUUUUAAUUAGAAGACAUUGGAAUAAAAUUGUUCCUCUUUUACCAGAGCUAACAGUAGUGUGAGAGAAUUUGUAUUAGGCCAGGGUUUAUGGGGAGGAGCGAUGAGGUAAAAUAUGUCUUCUUCAUCUACUGAAGUAAGGAUAAGGUCCUGCUCUGAUUGCUGCCUUUGCAGAAGGUGACUCUUUAGGUCUGUACAUGAAACUAUAUGCAACAUAAGCAAAGAGCUAUCUGGAAGAAAGAAAGAAUAUAGAGCCGGCCCUGUUAAAGUUUCAUGCUCACUGCUUAUCUCCUGAACCAGAUCCCUUACCUGACCAGACAUAAGAGCAUGUCAGCAUCCUUCUGACUAAAGGAUGCCA